CGCGUAGGCGGUUGUACAAGUCGCAUGUGAAAUACCAGGGCUCAACUCUGGGGGGUCAUGCGAAACUGUAUAACUUGAGUGCAGUAGAGGAAAGCGGAAUUCCUGGUGUAGCGGUAAAAUGCGUAGAGAUCAGGAGGAACACCGGUGGCGAAGGCGGCUUUCUGGGCUGUAACUGACGCUGAGGCGCGAAAGCGUGGGGAGCAAACAGGAUUAGAUACCCUGGUAGUCCACGCUGUAAACGAUGAAUACUAGGUGUAGGGGACGCAGGUCUUCUGUGCCGGAGCAAACGCAAUAAGUAUUCCGCCUGGGGAGUACGGCCGCAAGGUUGAA
rnacentral:rRNA from 1 species